rnacentral:rRNA from 1 species
UACGUAGGCAGCGAGCGUUGUUCGGAGUUACUGGGCGUAAAGGGUGUGUAGGCGGUUCUUUAAGUUUGGCGUGAAAUCUCCCGGCUCAACCGGGAGGGUGCGUCGAAUACUGAGGGACUAGAGUACGGGAGAGGAAAGUGGAAUUCCUGGUGUAGCGGUGAAAUGCGUAGAUAUCAGGAGGAACACCGGUGGUGUAGACGGCUUUCUGGACCGUAACUGACGCUGAGACACGAAAGCGUGGGUAGCAAACAGG